rnacentral:piRNA from 1 species
UGUGAUGGUUCUGAAGAGGUAGAUGG